CUUGUCAGCAGCAGUGGGAUAAUGGCUUUGGGGAGAUGGCAGCAGGCACAUGAACAUCCCGCUCUUGCAGCUGCUGAGGAGGUUGAUCUCCUGGGCUUGGCUGGAGGAGGUGGCACCUGUGUUGAGUAAUUGCUGAAAUCCAAUCGAUCUGGGAUGACCCCAAAUGACAGUUUAGUUUUCAGCUUGCUCGAGCUGUAUCUCAGCAGCUUUUGGGUAUCAUUUUUGGCCCCCAGACAGGACACCUCUGCCUGAUCUCCCGCGGAUCCGAGGGAUCUCUGGAUCUUCACGCCAGCACCAGGACUUUGCUGCAGAAGAGCACAGAUCCCCAGCCCAGUCUGGGACACAGAACCUGUGAAAGGGCAGAAAGAUUGUGGUGUGAAUGCAGCACCCUCAGAGCCCUUGGUGUGAGCCGGGAAAGGAAAAUCAAGCUGAGGGACAAGAUCAGUCUAAUUUGGGGACAUUGUUGGAGGUUGCAGUUGCAGUUCUGGAAGAAAUCCCUGAGGAAAUGGUGCCCCGGGGAGAGGAAGAGGACGAGAGCAUGGGCAGCCUGCUUCAAACAUCCCCCCAGGAGACUUGGGAGCAGUCCCUGUGCAUCCUGUAAGAAAGAUGGACACUGGAAAUGGGAUUGUCCGCAAUCCCCCCAGAGAACCCUGAAGGAGACCCCAAAGGACCAACUAAGGACUUGCAAUAGGGGGGGUGACUGUGUAAAGUAAAGUAACAUCUAUGUCUUAAGUAAGGGAGAAUAUCUAAUGAAUCUGGAAACUGUGUGUGUCGUGUAAAGCCCUGUGUGGCUGUCACUGAAGUGCUGAGGCUGAACAACAGGCCCUGAGCCAAAGCUGAGCUCUAGAUGAACCUUCCAACCUAACAGUCUGUUUAUCCCUGUAUUUGCUCCUUAGCUAAAACUGUGUAUGUUUGUUGGUCAAAGAUGCAGUGUGGAAAGACUCCCCGUGUACCUGCCCCUGAACAAAAUAAAUGUGCUUCUUAGUGAGA